rnacentral:rRNA from 1 species
GACGUAGGGCGCGAGCGUUGUCCGGAUUUAUUGGGCGUAAAGAGCUCGUAGGCGGCUCGUUGCGUCAAUCGUGAAAACUCAGGGCUUAACUCUGAGCUUGCGGUUGAUACGGGCGGGCUAGAGUUCGGUAGGGGAGUCUGGAAUUCCUGGUGUAGCGGUGAAAUGCGCAGAUAUCAGGAGGAAUACCUGUGGCGAAGGCGACCAUCUGGAAGACAACUGACGCUGAGAUGCGAAAGCGUGGGUAGCAAACAGG